ncrna:unclassified sequences RAGATH-30 RNA
GUAAAAAUAAGAAUUUUAUCGAAUUAGUUUACUAAGGUAAAAGCUGUCUGCGAUAGCAA